GAAACCUGGCAAGUGGGUCAUCCUGGCCGUUCCCCAGCAGCAGGCCCUCCCCCGCCUUCGCCUCCAGCCCUCCCGAGGAGCUCAAGGCCUCGGCCCCAGCUGGGCGGACUCGCUGGAGGGUCGGCGCCCCGGGCUGGGCUGAGUCGGGCCAGGCCGGUGGAUGUGCCUCGGCGCUCCGCCCGCCGGCUGCUCUUGCCCGCGCGUGGCCACCCGUCUGCGGCGCUGUUGGCCCUCCCGCCACCCCCUCGGCGGGGCCCUUUCCUUUACUAUGGUAAUAGUGACAUUCAGCGGGAAAGGCUAGCGCAGACCGCGGCGCCCCGGCUCCCGGGCGCGGGAGGCUCGGUCGGCGGUCGAGCUGCGCGCACCUCGCACCGCGGGGCUGCGGCGGCCGGGCUGCAGGCGCGCUCCCCCCCACCCCGCCCGCCGCGCUCGCCCCCGGCUGCUGCGGGGCGGCCCCGAGCCCCGGUCCGCGCUGGCCCGCCAGCUGCGGGCAGGACCUCGCCGCUCGGACUCCUGCGCCGGGGAAGGACGGAUCCAGCGCUUGGAGGGAGAUCCCGCCUCACUGCUCGUAUAUGGCAAAGUUUCUUGCCGAGCUCCUGGGCUGCACGUUGCCGAGCAAGGGCGCCUCUCCCAUGUUUGAGUCCAAAAGUCACUCCCGAGUUGUCCUGAAAUCAAGCACCAAGCAAAAGACCACCGUUUUCAGCACAAGGGCCAGUGAGAAGUCCUCAUCUGACUGCAAAAAGAACAACAGCACUAACAGCUAUGAGUUGGCAGGGGAGACCCAGAAAACACUUGAUCUCUUCCAAGUUUUAUUCUUGUUGCUGAUCCGUUUGCAUCAAGUUUCAUCAGGUGGCCCAGAAAAUUCAAGUUGAUACCGUGAUUUCAGCCUCAUGAUGUUGAUAUUGGACUUCUGGCCCCCAGAACUGAACAGCAAUGGAAACUUUCAAUGUACAACAGCAUAACUCCAGUCUGCUUUACGAGCCCUCUGAUUGAGAAACCAGUUGGCAAACUGGGGGGAAACUGAGGCUUCACGAGGUUACACAAAUGCCCAACAUCACACAGCUGGUAAUUUGGAAAAUUCAGGGAGAGUCAGAAGGAAUCAAAAACUUCCACAGUCCAGUGAUAAACACAAUCUGCAGUUAACAUAUUGGUGUAUUUUCUUCCUCCUUAUGCAUACAUUUUUGUUAUAUAAUUUAAGAUUAUACAACAUAUGCAAUUUUCUAUUCAGUAAGUUUUAACUUCACAUUAUUGCAUGAGCAUUUUGCAAUGUUAUUCCAUAGAUUUCAAAAAUCUCAAUUUUUUAAUUGAGGUAUAAUUGACAUAAAGAUUAUAUUAGUUUCAGGUAGACAACAUAAUAUCAAAAAUCCUAAUAAAUAAUAUUUGAGGGUAUCUCUAUAUUUUUACCAACAAAUCAACCCUGAGUGUUUUGGUUGUUUCUAAAUUUAGUCAUUAUAAAUGAUGCUAAAAUAAAUAAUGAACAUACUUAUACGUAGAUCUGUGUUUCUCUGAUUUUUUCUUUAUAAUUAUUCCUAGAAAUGGCAAAGGUGAGAAACUUUUAAAAUUUCACAAUAUGUAUUGCUUUGGUGCAUUUCAAAAAGUUUGUCUAUGUUUCCACUAGCAUUACAUAAGAAUGCCAAUCACCCUGUACGUCCAGCAGCAUUGAAUAUGAUAAUUUUUAAUCUUUGUAGAUUAAAUCAUGUUGUCUCAUUGUUUUUGCUAUUUGUUUACUAGUGGGAUUAAUUUUUUCCUCUAUCCAUUUGUUGUUUAUA